UGGGGAAUAUUGGACAAUGGGCGCAAGCCUGAUCCAGCCAUGCCGCGUGAGUGACGAAGGCCUUAGGGUUGUAAAGCUCUUUUGGCGGGGAAGAUAAUGACGGUACCCGCAGAAUAAGCUCCGGCUAACUUCGUGCCAGCAGCCGCGGUAAUACGAAGGGAGCUAGCGUUGUUCGGAAUCACUGGGCGUAAAGCGCACGUAGGCGGAUGUGUCAGUCAGGGGUGAAAUCCCGGAGCUCAACCUCGGAACUGCCCUUGAUACAGCACGUCUUGAGUCCGAUAGAGGUGGGUGGAAUUCCUAGUGUAGAGGUGAAAUUCGUAGAUAUUAGGAAGAACACCGGUGGCGAAGGCGACUUGCUGGACUUGUGGUGACGCUGAGACGCGAAAGCGUGGGGAGCAAACAGGAUUAGAUACCCAGGUAUCCCUGAGCGGGCUGGCAAGGCGCAU
rnacentral:rRNA from 1 species